rnacentral:rRNA from 1 species
GUGGGGGAUAUUGCACAAUGGGGGAAACCCUGAUGCAGCGACGCCGCGUGAGUGAAGAAGUAUUUCGGUAUGUAAAGCUCUAUCAGCAGGGAAGAAGAUGACAGUACCUGACUAAGAAGCCCCGGCUAACUACGUGCCAGCAGCCGCGGUAAUACGUAGGGGGCAAGCGUUAUCCGGAUUUACUGGGUGUAAAGGGAGCGUAGACGGUUAUGUAAGUCUGGAGUGAAAGCCCGGGGCCCAACCCCGGGACUGCUUUGGAAACUGUGUAACUAGAGUACAGGAGGGGCAGGCGGAAUUCCUGGUGUAGCGGUGAAAUGCGUAGAUAUCAGGAGGAACACCGGCGGCGAAGGCGGCCUGCUGGACUGAAACUGACGUUGAGGCUCGAAAGCGUGGGGAGCAAACAGG